rnacentral:rRNA from 2 species
GCUAGGUGUUGGAGGGUUUCCGCCCUUCAGUGCCGCAGCUAACGCAUUAAGCACUCCGCCUGGGGAGUACGACCGCAAGGUUGAAACUCAAAGGAAUUGACGGGGGCCCGCACAAGCGGUGGAGCAUGUGGUUUAAUUCGAAGCUACGCGAAGAACCUUACCAGGUCUUGACAUCUUCUGCCAAUCUUAGAGAUAAGACGUUCCCUUCGGGGACAGAAUGACAGGUGGUGCAUGGUUGUCGUCAGCUCGUGUCGUGAGAUGUUGGGUUAAGUCCCGCAACGAGCGCAACCCUUAUUAUCAGUUGCCAGCAUUCAGUUGGGCACUCUGGUGAGACUGCCGGUGACAAACCGGAGGAAGGUGGGGAUGACGUCAAAUCAUCAUGCCCCUUAUGACCUGGGCUACACACGUGCUACAAUGGACGGUACAACGAGUCGCGAAGUCGUGAGGCCAAGCUAAUCUCUUAAAGCCGUUCUCAGUUCGGAUUGUAGGCUGCAACUCGCCUACAUGAAGUUGGAAUCGCUAGUAAUCGCGGAUCAGCAUGCCGCGGUGAAUACGUUCCCGGGCCUUGUACACACCGCCCGUCACACCAUGAGAGUUUGUAACACCCAAAGCCGGUGAGAUAACCUUCGGGAGUCAGCCGUCUAAGGUGGGACAGAUGAUUGAGGGGUGAAGUCGUAACAAGGUAGCCGU